AUUGAACGCUGGCGGCAGGCCUAACACAUGCAAGUCGAGCGGAUGAAGGGGGCUUGCUCCUGGAUUCAGCGGCGGACGGGUGAGUAAUGCCUAGGAAUCUGCCUGGUAGUGGGGGAUAACGUCCGGAAAUGGGCGCUACUACCGCAUACGUCCUGAGGGAGAAAGUGGGGGAUCUUCGGACCUCACGCUAUCAGAUGAGCCUAGGUCGGAUUACCUAGGUGGUGGGGUAAAGGCCUACCAAGGCGACGAUCCGUAACUGGUCUGAGAGGAUGAUCAGUCAGCUUGUAAGUGAGAAACGUCCCAGACACUUACGGGAGGCCGCAGUGGGGAAUAUUGGACAAGGGGGGAAAGCCUGAUACAGCCAUGCCGCGUGUGUGAAGAAGGUCUUCGGAUUGUAAAGCAAUUUAAGUUGGGGGGAAGGGCAGUAAGUUAAUACCUGGCUGUUUUGACGUUACCAAAAGAAUAAGCACCGGCUAACUUCGUG
rnacentral:rRNA from 1 species